ACUUGCUCCACCAGUCUUCAUGGGUAGCUCUAGUAGGAACAAACUCUCUUAGUGUUUCCUCAUCGAAGAAUGUUUCCAUUUCUCUUUCGCUCCCAAAGAACAUUUUUAUCAUCCAGAAGAAGAAGCCCCG
rnacentral:lncRNA from 1 species